UACGGAGGGUGCGAGCGUUGUUCGGAAUCACUGGGCGUAAAGAGCGUGUAGGCGGCCAGGUAGGUCGGUUGUGAAAACUGGAGGCUCAACCUUCAGAGGUCGACCGAAACCAUCUGGCUAGAGUCCGGGAGAGGAGAGUGGAAUUCCUGGUGUAGCGGUGAAAUGCGCAGAUAUCAGGAAGAACACCCGUGGCGAAAGCGGCAUCCUGGACCGACACUGACGCUGAGGAGCGAAGGCCAGGGGAGCAAACAGG
rnacentral:rRNA from 1 species